ensembl:snRNA U6 U6 spliceosomal RNA
GCUCGCUUCGGCAGCAUAUACUAAAAUUGGAACGAUUCCGAGAAGAUUAGCAUGGCCCCUGCGCAAGGAUGACA